GAGAACUGCAGGUCACUGGGAAUUUCAUUGCUUCAGCCCAGAAGUGAAGCGUCACUGUCACUCACUGCCACAAGUGCUGGAACGUGCAGACCUCCCUGAGCCUCAGAAGGAGUGGAGGACUGCAUAUCAGAUCACACCAUGCUCAUUCAUACACAAAGAAGUCUGGGAGCAGAGCAGCCACCCACUCUCUCCAUGUCAGCCAGCGGUCCAAUGGACAAGGUCAUGUUCUGCGACUGGUUUAUCACUUCCUGCCAGUGGCCACUGCAUGAGAUACCUGGACAACUUAUCUACAUGAGAAACAAUGUCUAUGGAGAUGAAAAAUAAGUAUGCCCAUUUCCAAGGACUUGUGGAUGUGAGGAAGGGAAAUAAAGCUGAAUAUUAACAUUGUCAGCUCCUAUUGAGGAAGGAGAAAACAUUUAUGAAUACUACUUAGAACUCUCAAGGAGAGAAACAUAGAACACAAAGACAAUGUAAUAAUUUACAUUGAAACAUAGAACACAAAAACAAGAUAAUAAUUCUAAAUGUAAAAAUUUAAUAGAUAAAACUGG
rnacentral:lncRNA from 1 species